rnacentral:rRNA from 1 species
GAUGAACGCUGGUGGCGUGCCUAACACAUGCAAGUCGAGCGAUUCUCUUCGGAGAAGAGCGGUGGACGGGUGAGUAAAGCGGGGGUAAACUGCCCUGGACACACGGAUAACAUACCGAAAGGUAUGCUAAUACGAGAUAACAUGCUUUUAUAGCAUGGUAGAAGUAUCAAAGCUGUUGCGGUACAGGAUGGACCCGCGUCUGAUUAGCUAGUUGGUGAGGUAACGGCCCACCAAGGCGACGAUCAGUAGCCGACCUGAGAGGGUGAUCGGCCACAUUGGAACUGAGACACGGUCCAAACUCCUACGGGAGGCAGCAGUGGGGAAUAUUGCACAAUGGGCGAAAGCCUGAUGCAGCAACGCCGCGUGAGCGAUGAAGGCCUUCGGGUCGUAAAGCUCUGUCCUCAAGGAAGAUAAUGACGGUACUUGAGGAGGAAGCCCCGGCUAACUACGUG